CGCUCCAGACGUGCAAGAGUGCAGCAUCACUUUUAUUGUCUCAUGCAGAGCACUUAACAACGGCCUUAUCACGUCCCCUGAAGUAUGCAUCCGGGGCCAAAGGGAGGUUUGUUGUUCUCCGAGCGGGAGGAACUUUCUGCAGGACGUGGCCCGAGCUGUGUUGACAUGCGGGUUCCCACGAUCUCCUGCCCUUCCUCCAGAGCUGCUGCUUGCUCACAACUCCGGACAGGAAGACCACUGAGAGUUCUGCUUGGAGGAGGAGUCGGGACUUGUUCAGUACCAGCGUCCUGUGAAGUGUGCAGAGAACGCUUUCUGGUCUGUCACUAAAAUAUGGAUGAGUGGCUCUGCAAAAGUUGCCAUCUUAAAAGCUGCACUGGCUACCAUUAAAUCUGUGUGCUUUUCUGCAACACUGAAACCAGGACAGGUGUCUAUAACAACAUUUGAUAUUUGUGCCUUGUAUUUUCUCUGAGAUGGCGUACAGCUAACUGAGACAGCGUUUCUCUUGGGAUCUGCGAUGUUGUAUCAUUUAGCCAUGUUAAAUUAUCUGACUCAUAAUUUGAAAACCGGUCUGAAGGAUGAAGGAUUCUUUUUGUUUGUUAUUUUCCGUUGAGUGAUUGAUGCCACAUUAAAAAGAAGCAAUAGGCUAUGUCUGUAUAUUUCUCAAGAUAAAUGUUUAAUUUGGAUCAUGAAACUAAAAUCUGCUUACUACUAUUGAUGAUUAUUUACGAAAUAGAAAACAUACAAAUAAAAGGUACGAGGACGUCACAAUAAUUCCACUCUACAAACAUAAAGGGAAGCUGAUGAUAGAAUGAAUGUUCAAAAAUAUUUUAAUCAAAACUGGUUAUAGAUGUCACUUUAAAAAAAUAGGAUUCAAUGACUUUCAGCUCCAGAACUUCAAUAAAGGCAAGCCUUCUGUGGAAGGACAUGUCAUGAGGGGCUAAUCAGCCAAUCAGAGGUGGACUUCCCAUUAUACAGCCAAAAAGAAAACGGAUUGUGUUUCUUCCUAC